UACGUAGGGGGCAAGCGUUGUCCGGAAUCAUUGGGCGUAAAGCGUGCGCAGGCGGUUGUGCAAGACAGAUGUGAAAUCCCCGGGCUCAACCUGGGAACUGCAUUCGGGACUGCAUUGCUAGAGUAUGGGAGAGGGAAGUGGAAUUUCAGGUGUAGCGGUGAAAUGCGUAGAUAUCUGAAGGAACAUCAGUGGCGAAAGCGACUUCCUGGACCAAUACUGACGCUCAUGUGCGAAAGCGUGGGGAGCAAACAGG
rnacentral:rRNA from 1 species